CCUAAGCCUGGCUUGGGACAGGUGACAAUGCUAUAGUCUCCCAGAGGGCUUCAUGUCUGUGGAGCUGGAGAUACCACACUGACCUUAGCCCCCACUUUCUGACCUUAGCACCACCACUUCAAAGGGCAGUUUCUGCUUCCCACAGAGGACAUCAAUGUUGGGCCUGUGACUGACAGCAGCCAUCUGGUUUCAGGAAGUAUACUCUGGUGGGUUGCUACAGAGGAACAAUCAUCACUUCUUCCCAGGAGCAGAGGGCACAGACAUCAGGAGCCAAUGUUCAAAACCAACAUGGGAACUGGAUCCUUGCAAGCACAGCAUGGAGUUAUAAGAAGGUCUGACGACACAUACAGCUGCAGAGGAGACAAAAGAGAGACAGACAGAGCUUUGGCAGAGGUCUGAGUGACAGCGAUCUGCUACAGGGCUCCGAGGAAAGUCACUCUUGUCUAACCGGCACACUGGAGCUGCAGGCUGACCACCAAAGGCUGAAGCCAAAGCUCCACAUGGACGUCUUCUCACCCAGGCAGCCUGGCAGCCCUUCUCAGGACUUCCCUCUAUGGGACACUUCUGCACAGGACUCUGGUGACCUCACUGGACAGGGAGUGCUGCUCUUUUCUCAGCUGCAGGCUAUUGAGGAAGAGGCUAUUGGUUGAGGGUGACAGAGAGUAGCCAGUGUGGGCUGUGGCUUCAUCUCUCAGGUAGGUACAGGGAUAAGUUUUGAGUAGAGUGGCC